rnacentral:rRNA from 1 species
AACGAACGCUGGCGGCAGGCCUAACACAUGCAAGUCGAACGAACCGCACGGGGUUUGUGGCGGACGGGUGUGUCACACGUGGGAACUUGCCAUUAUGCGGGGAAGAACAGAGGGAAUCUUGUGCUUAUAGUGUACGUGCGCUACGGGGGAAAGAUUAAUUGCCUUUAGGGCGGCCCGCGUCUGAUUAGGUUGUUGGGUGAGGUAAUGGCUCACCAAGGCGACGAUCAGUAGCUGGUCUGAGAGGAUGAUCAGCCACAUUGGGACUGAGACACGGCCCAAACUCCUACGGGAGGCAGCAGUGGGGAAUCUUGCGCAAUGGGCGAAAGCCUGACGCAGCCAUGCCGCGUGAAUGAUGAAGGUCUUAGGAUUGUAAAGCUCUUUCAGCGGGGACGAUAAUGACGGUACCCGGAGAAGAAGCCCCGGCUAACUUCGUG